AGUUAAAAGCGGAGAGGGAAUACAUAUGGAACAGAAAAAGUAAGAGGAUAUGGAAGAAAAUUUGAAAAAGUUACAAGAAAUGGAGAAAGAGGUGCAACAUGAUGUAUCUAACGAUGGAGACGAUGAAGUUGUUUUCGUUGACUCAUUAGUGUGAAUCACGCAAUCGAAGGGAAAGCAACUCGCCAAAAUUCAAGUUGUCUUUGGAUAAUUUAUGUAUUUCUAGUAUUUGAGACUUAGAGACUUUAUGUAAUUUAAUGAAUUAUUUGUUAUAUUUGAGACUUACAGAUUUUAUGUAGUUUUUGUCAUUGAUAUUUUCAGAUUUUAUGUAAACAGGUCUAUAAUUAGGUCCAACAGGUUAUUUAUUUUCUUUAAAAAAAAA